rnacentral:rRNA from 1 species
CAAUAGCGUAUAUUAAAGUUGUUGCAGUUAAAAAGCUCGUAGUUGGAUUUCUGGUGGGAGCGAUCGGUCUGGCGCUUAGCGCGAGUACUUGCAUCGUCUCCGGCCAUCCUUGGGGAAAGUCUGUCUGGCAUUAAGUUGUUGGGCAGAGGAUCCUCAUCGUUUACUGUGAAAAAAUUAGAGUGUUCAAAGCAGGCUUAUGCCGUUGAAUAUAUUAGCAUGGAAUAAUAAGAUAGGACUUUGGUACUAUUUUGUUGGUUUGCGCACCAAAGUAAUGAUUAAUAGGAACAGUUGGGGGUAUUCGUAUUCCGUUGUCAGAGGUGAAAUUCUUGGAUUUACGGAAGACGAACUACUGCGAAAGCAUUUACCAAGGAUGUUUUCAUUAA